rnacentral:rRNA from 1 species
UACGAAGGGGGCUAGCGUUACUCGGAUUGACUGGGCGUAAAGGGCGCGUAGGCGGCUUGUACAGUCAGACGUGAAAUUCCUGGGCUCAACCUGGGGGCUGCGUUUGAUACGUGCGGGCUUGAGUUCGGAAGAGGGUCGUGGAAUUCCCAGUGUAGAGGUGAAAUUCGUAGAUAUCGGGAGGAACACCUGUGGCGAAAGCGGCGCACUGGACCACAACUGACGCUGAGGCGCGAAAGCGUGGGGAGCAAACAGG